CGCGUAGGCGGGUUUGUAAGUCAGAGGUGAAAUCCUGCAGCUUAACUGCAGAACUGCCUUUGAUACUGCAGAUCUUGAGUUUGGAAGAGAGAGACGGAAUUCCAGGUGUAGUGGUGAAAUACGUAGAUAUCUGGAAGAACACCAGUGGCGAAGGCGGUCUCUUGGUCCAUAACUGACGCUGAGGCGCGAAAGCGUGGGGAGCAAACAGGAUUAGAUACCCGAGUAGUCC
rnacentral:rRNA from 1 species